rnacentral:miRNA from 15 species
AAGCGUUUGGAUUCUGAAAC